UUUUUCUUGGAAGUAUCGGAGGAUAUUAUAUUUGGUCACCAGAGUUUGCUAGAUUAUCUAAGAAAAUCGCAUCCAAAGAGGAACUAGAGGCCGAACGAAGCAAAACAUUGGCUGAAUUUGGAGAUCAGAGUGGUCCUGUGAAGACGUGAGCAUCUGGAGUCUGAUGAAGGUCUCUCUUGGGCCCAAUUCGCGCCUAUUUUUGGCCACUGCCAUUGGUUCAUUUUGUGGAUGGUUUAUUGUUGAGCCAAUCAUUUGGAGCUACAAAAAAACUUUUGAUAAGAAGAAAGAUCUUCCUCCCCCAAAGUUUCAAUGAAGUCAACAGCCAGCAUGUCCAAAGGGGAGGCUCCAGUCAAGCCAAACUGGCGAAUGUUUGUAGCGGAGUGGAAGCAGCCUACCACUAAUGGAACUUAUCUCCUAAAAUAUGGUACCAUAGCAGUGGGGAUUGGAGUUUUUGUUUCAGUAAUUGUUCGUCCUACUUGGCGUGAAUACAAAUAUCGCCGCGAUGAAGCGUUUGCCAACAUGUUAUUUGAAUUAGACAGGAAAAGUAAAGAAUGAGGUAUCUUAAAUUUGUCGGAAUGUGAUUUGUUGCAGUGGGUACAGAAAGUUAUAGUUCAUCAGGUUUAUAAUAAAACAAUAUUGCUAA